rnacentral:rRNA from 1 species
AUUGAACGCUGGCGGCAGGCCUAACACAUGCAAGUCGAACGAGUGGCGGACGGGUGAGUAAUGUCUGGGAAACUGCCCGAUGGGGGGGGAUAACUACUGGAAACGGUAGCUAAUAACGCAUACUAUCGGAUGUGCCCAGAUGGGAUUGGCUUGUAGGUGAGGUAACGGCUCACAUAGGCGACGAUCCCUAGCUGGUCUGACAGGAUGACCAGCCACACUGGAACGGAGACACGGUCCAGACUCCUACGGGAGGCAGCAGUGGGGAAUAUUGCACAAUGGGCGCAAUCCUGAUGCAGCCAGGCCGCGUGUAUGAAGAAGGCCUUCGGGUUGUAAAGUACUUUCAGCGGGGAGGCGUUACCAACAGAAUAAGCACCGGCUAACUUCGUGCCAGCCGCCGCGGUAAUAC